UUUUUUUUUUUUUUUGGGUACCGGGGAUCGAACUCGGGUCCUUGCGCUUGCAAGGCAGGUGGCGGAACCACUGAGCUAAAUCCCCGGCCCAAUAAAUGCUAAAUUAACAAGUGAAUUCACAAACUUCUUUAUAAAUUAGGUCAUAGUUGCGGAAAAAACUCGAUUUAUUAAACUCUAUUCAUACUUAAUAUAAUUGGCAACCAUACCUUGAAUGAUGGCCAGCAAGAUGACAAUGACAAAGAAGAAAAAGGUAAUGUCAAAGACAAUGCGAUACAUUUCGUAAGGAUCACCAGCAGGGUCUUCAAUUUCAUCGCCAAUGCCGCCUCCUGCUCUCACUCCCACAUACAUGUGGAAAAGGUAACACUAAGAGAGAAACACAGUGGCCAUUCAGGUCAAAGAGUUCUGUGUCCAGCAAAACGGUUCCAUCAUUCAUAUGACUAAGCCUGUGACAGCCCUGACCCAGCAGCAGGGGACUCUUCAGUGGCACAGGUUUUCAUGGCUGCUGUCACCAUAUCUGUCCUCAGUUUGCUGUCCACAACAGUGGCAAGACUGUUACUAUUAAAUAUGUUUUGGUCCAUUUUUUUAAAAGACAGUUUUGAACUGCUUGAUACAACAGGAUUCAUUUAAGGUGCAUGUAAGUUAGAAGAUCUUUAAGGCCUGAUGAGUAUGGCAUAUUCCAGAUCCUAGUUUUUAUUCAUUUAUUUUCAAGGGUGUCAGUGUAGUUUUUUUAAGCUGUGCUGUAAACACUCAGAAAAGGCUCCUACUGCUUCUGCAUUCCCUAUAAACCUGGCAGGGCACGGAUUUCUGCAGCAUCUUAGAUAGAAAUUGAACAUCUUUAAUCUGAAGUAAAAAAUGCUCCAAAAUCUCAAACUCUUGAGAGUUUACUACACGAUCACAAAUUCCACACUUGGAAAAUUCCACAUUUCACCUAAUGGGAUGGGUUACAGUCAUCAAAAAAUACUGUAUAAAGUUACCUUCAACUAAGUGCAUAAGAUGUAUGUAUGUGAAACACCAUGAAUUUCACAUUUAGACUUAGGUCUCAUCCCCAAGACACAUCAUUAGGCAUAUGUAAAUAUUGCAAAAUCAAAAAAUCUGACACUUCUGAUCCCAAACAUUUUGGAUAGGGGCCCUAUAAUAGACUUUCUUCUGCACGUUUGAUGCAGUGUAGGCACCUGGCCACUGGCUUGCCGAGGAGGGCAGACAUCUCUUCACCUGACUGCACAAGUUGGCAGUUGCUUGAAAGGUAAAGCAAGACCCUAGUGAGCCUGAGGCCAGGUGUGAGUCACAUGGGUGCUCUGCCUGCUGCUGUCUUGUGGCUGCUUGUCCCAAAGAGGCCUAAGGAGAGUGAAGCCAAUGAGCGUUCCUUUUCGUAUAGGCAUGCUUGCAGUCAGGAGCAGUUUGCUGCCACCUAUCUCGGACCAUAAAUUGUUUUCCUAAAAUCAGGUCCUGAUAAAUGAUGCCACUGAAGCGGUGCUGGGUCACCCUGAGCUGUUCUUUCUGUCCUGCUGCAGCCUAGCCUGCUAGGACUUCCCGCAUCCUGCCCCUGUGGUUGUCUGGUUCUUCAGCUUUGGUGGUGGUUUGGAAGGUCCCCACUGGCUGGCUGAAAUCAAGUACCUUAUUCAAGGGACCUCACUGCCAGUUCUCAGAGAUAGAAGAGCAAGUUUGUCUUCCAGGAAGUUUAGAUGUGAGUCAUUCACGAGGGGGCCUCCUCCUUACCCCAGAUAAGGGAGGCAGUGUGACAUGGUGGCCUCACAGCAGCAGGGGGACUCACCGUCAUCAUGUCAUCACACUUCAUGUCGGGCUCAUCGUCAUCUUCACUUUUGUUGUAGAACUUACGGAAGAAGUUGAAGGCCACCACCGUGUAGAGGAAUGGCACUGUUGGUUAGAUGUUACAAGAGGAGGGACACCCAGGAUCUCCCCUGCCCAAUGGGCUUGGAAUAGCUGCCAUCUCAUUCAGUGACUGACCUAAAGUCCCGCAUGAAUAGUGGGAGCAUUACAAGGAUAAAAAUAUUCCAGGCAUGAUCAAGCUCACCGGGAAGCUACACUAAACCAAGUGACAUCAUGUGGACCUUUGAGUAUACUUGUAAAAGUGUUGUCUCACAAGAAAACUCUCCUCUUACAUUAAACCUUGUUUUCUAUGCUUUUGGUUCACUGAAUAAACCUUUGGACUGUGAAAACUAACCUGAUAAAAGCCUGAAGCAAGGUAAAGGUCUAAGAUCUCUUGUUUGAAUUCUAC
rnacentral:lncRNA from 1 species